rnacentral:rRNA from 1 species
GACGAACGCUGGCGGCGUGCCUAAUACAUGCAAGUCGAACGCAGUGGGGACGGGUGAGUAACACGUGGGUAACCUCCCAUCAGAGGGGAUAACACUUGGAAACAGGUGCUAAACCGAUACUGAUGGAUGGACCCGCGGUGCAUUAGCCAGUUGGUGGGGUAACGGCUCACCAAGGCCACGAUGCCUAGCCGGCCUGAGAGGGUGAUCAGCCACACUGGAACUGAGACACGGCCCAGACUCCUACGGGAGGCAGCAGUGGGGAAUCUUGGACAAUGGACGAAAGUCUGACGGAGCAACGCCGCGUGAGUGAAGAAGGUUUUCGGAUCGUAAAGCUCUGUUGGUAGGGAAGCGGUAUCUGACCAGAAAGCCACGGCUAACUACGUGCCAGCAGCCGCGGUAAUAC